rnacentral:rRNA from 1 species
AUUGAACGCUGGCGGCAGGCCUAACACAUGCAAGUCGGACGGUAGCACAGAGGAGCUUGCUCCUCGGGUGACGAGUGGCGGACGGGUGAGUAAUGUCUGGGGAUCUGCCCGAUAGAGGGGGAUAACCACUGGAAACGGUGGCUAAUACCGCAUAACGUCGCAAGACCAAAGAGGGGGACCUUCGGGCCUCUCACUAUCGGAGUAACCCAGAUGGGGUUAGCUAGUAGGCGGGGUAACGGCCCACCUAGGCGACGAUCCCUAGCUGGGCUGGGAGGAGAACCAGCAGCACUGGAACUGGGACACGGUCCAGACUCCUACGGGAGGCAGCAGUGGGAAAUAUUGGACAAUGGGCGCAAGCCUGAUGCAGCCAGGCCGCGUGUAUGAAGAAGGCCUUCGGGUUGUAAAGUACUUUCAGCGGGGAGGAAGGCGAUAAGGUUAAUAACCUUGUCGAUUGACGUUACCCGCAGAAGAAGCACCGGCUAACUCCGUGCCAGCCGCCGCAGUAA